UGGGGAAUUUUGGACAAUGGGCGAAAGCCUGAUCCAGCAAUGCCGCGUGUGUGAAGAAGGCCUUCGGGUUGUAAAGCACUUUUGUCCGGAAAGAAAUCCUUGGCUCUAAUACAGUCGGGGGAUGGCGGUACCGGAAGAAUAAGCACCGGCUAACUACGUGCCAGCAGCCGCGGUAAUACGUAGGGUGCAAGCGUUAAUCGGAAUUACUGGGCGUAAAGCGUGCGCAGGCGGUUUGCUAAGACCGAUGUGAAAUCCCCGGGCUCAACCUGGGAACUGCAUUGGUGACUGGGCAGGCUAGAGUAUGGCAGAGGGGGGUAGAAUUCCACGUGUAGCAGUGAAAUGCGUAGAGAUGUGGAGGAAUACCGAUGGCGAAGGCAGCCCCCUGGGCCAAUACUGACGCUCAUGCACGAAAGCGUGGGGAGCAAAGCAGGAUUAGAUACCCCUGGUAGUCCACGCCCUAAACGAUGUCAACUAGUUGUUGGGGAUUCAUUUCCUUAGUAACGUAGCUAACGCGUGAAGUUGACCGCCUGGGGGAGUACGGUCGCAAGAUUAAAACUCAAAUGAAUUGAC
rnacentral:rRNA from 1 species